rnacentral:rRNA from 1 species
GACUGCAGGCUGCAACUCGCCUGCACGAAGUCGGAAUUGCUAGUAAUCGUAGGUCAGCAUACUACGGUGAAUACCGUUCCCGGGCCUUGUACACACCGCCCGUCAAACCAUGAGAGUUGGCAACACCCGAAGUCGGUAGUCUAACCGCAAGGAGGACGCCGCCGAAGGUGGGGUUNAUGAUUAGGGUUAAGUCGUAACAAGGUAAC